AUUGAACGCUGGCGGCAUGCUUUACACAUGCAAGUCGAACGGUAACAGGCCGCAAGGUGCUGACGAGUGGCGAACGGGUGAGUAAUGCAUCGGAACGUGCCCAGUCGUGGGGGAUAACGCAGCGAAAGCUGCGCUAAUACCGCAUACGAUCUAUGGAUGAAAGCGGGGGACCGUAAGGCCUCGCGCGAUUGGAGCGGCCGAUGUCAGAUUAGGUGGUUGGUGGGGUAAAGGCUCACCAAGCCAACGAUCUGUAGCUGGUCUGAGAGGACGACCAGCCACACUGGGACUGAGACACGGCCCAGACUCCUACGGAGGCAGCAGUGGGGAAUUUUGGACAAUGGGCGCAAGCCUGAUCCAGCAAUGCCGCGUGCAGGAAG
rnacentral:rRNA from 1 species